rnacentral:rRNA from 1 species
CAAUCCAGGUCGGUUUCUAUCUAUGUAGCCCCCCCCUUCAGUACGAAAGGACAAAGGGGGAAAGACCAAKSCCMCAAGCACGUCUCAAACCACUAACUGAAUAAAACUAAAGUUAAACAGCUACCACCACGAUCAAAGAUCGUGAUCU